GCAGACUUUAACGCGUGAUGUGUGUUGGUAUUAUUUAAUAUGAGGCAGAUUUUGUGUCGUGUGUUUCAGCAAAAUUUCAGUGAGUCAACCGAAAUUCUUCGACAAAGUCAACAUUUACGAUAAUCGAGAUAAAUCCAUGCGAGUGGGACAUUAGUCAAACUAAAUGUAAAUGAAAAAAGACCUUAUCAUGUUGACCCCUAACCCGACGAUAUUAUGAUGACCCCCGGCCAUAUUUUCUAAAACAAAUAGUCGUCCAGUUGUCGGUGUGGUGGUCACAAAUACGCGCGUUCAAGGGAAAAAGACUGUCCUGUUACUAAGUACUAGUGCCGCAGGAGUACAUUCGACCUCCUGCUGCUCAAGUGCUUAUCAAUGGGCACAGAAUGAUUUCAUCAACCGGCGCCUCGCGGAAAAUGAGACAUCAUCACC